AACACGCACGGCGACUGGCGUACGGGGAAGCGACCCCGGGGAAGCCGCGCGCGCUCCACCACACGAGGUGCCGCUCGCCUGGGCAUCACGG
rnacentral:ncRNA from 1 species